UGAGUUUGUCAGGGAGAGGGAGAAGACAAAGCUCUUCUUUCGGGAGCUGACUGAGGGUGGUCUCUCCAGGCAGACUCAGGUGAACUACAUGAAGAGCCUGAAGAGGUUGAUAGCAUGUAUAUUUUAGGUACACCUUGCUAGUACCUGGUUGGACCCCCUUUUGUCUUCAGAACUGCCUUAAUCCUUCGUGGCAUAGAUUCAACAAGGUGCUCUAUUGGACUGAGAUCUGGUGACUGUGGAGGCCAUUUG